UCAAAUUUUUUUCAUUUGAUUUUCCUUGUUUUCUUUUCAUUUCCUUUCCUUUCUUACUUCUUUCUUCUCCUAACUUAUUGGGCACCAAACCUACAGUUUCUAACCCCAUUUUCCAGGACAACCAAACCCUAAGAGAGAGAAGGAAAAAAUCUCUCUUUCUUUCCUUUAUUUUCUAUUGCUACUCCACCAUCACCGACACUUGAAUUUUCAACUUUAAAUCUCCAUUUUUAAGGCCAAAAGGUUUUGUUGAUCUUUAUGCCUCCAAGCUCACGAAGGUUUUAAUGGUAUUUCGGGACUACUUGGAUUAAGAUCUUGUGGGUGCUAGUCUUGUUAGGUGGCAUUGUUAAGAUUUAGAGGUAGUUGGGACCUAGGUCGAAGAGUUCAUUUGUAUUCACCAUUUGGUAGGUAACAUGGCAUCCAGUAACAGUACCCACGCCCAAAGUCACUCCGCUGAUAGUCAAGGUCUCUUGUAUAUGCAUAUAGUUACUUAAAUGUAAAUUAUGAGAUUGUUGUGCACUCUGUACAUUUGAUUUGAUUAACCAUGUCAUUUAGGGUUGACGAAUGAUAACCCUAA